AUGAUUAAAGAUAGCUUGCUAUUUUUAUGAAGAGCGGCGAACGGGUGAGUAACGCGUGGGAAAUCUGCCGAGUAGCGGGGGACAACGUUUGGAAACGAACGCUAAUACCGCAUAACAAUGAGAAUCGCAUGAUUCUUAUUUAAAAGAAGCAAUUGCUUCACUACUUGAUGAUCCCGCGUUGUAUUAGCUAGUUGGUAGUGUAAAGGACUACCAAGGCGAUGAUACAUAGCCGACCUGAGAGGGUGAUCGGCCACACUGGGACUGAGACACGGCCCAGACUCCUACGGGAGGCAGCAGUAGGGAAUCUUCGGCAAUGGGGGCAACCCUGACCGAGCAACGCCGCGUGAGUGAAGAAGGUUUUCGGAUCGUAAAACUCUGUUGUUAGAGAAGAACGUUAA
rnacentral:rRNA from 1 species